AUUGAACGCUGGCGGCAUGCCUUACACAUGCAAGUCGAACGGUAACGCGGGGCAACCUGGCGACGAGUGGCGAACGGGUGAGUAAUGUAUCGGAACGUGCCCAGUUGUGGGGGAUAACUGCUCGAAAGAGCAGCUAAUACCGCAUACGACCUGAGGGUGAAAGCGGGGGAUCGCAAGGCCUCGCGCAAUUGGAGCGGCCGAUAUCAGAUUAGGUAGUUGGUGGGGUAAAGGCUCACCAAGCCAACGAUCUGUAGCUGGUCUGAGAGGACGACCAGCCACACUGGGACUGAGACACGGCCCAGACUCCUACGGGAGGCAGCAGUGGGGAAUUUUGGACAAUGGACGCAAGUCUGAUCCAGCCAUGCCGCGUGCGGGAAGAAGGCCUUCGGGUUGUAAACCGCUUUUGUCAGGGAAGAAACGCUCUGGGUUAAUACCUCGGGGUAAUGACGGUACCUGAAGAAUAAGCACCGGCUAACUACGUGCCAGCCGCCGCCGUAAGAC
rnacentral:rRNA from 1 species